ensembl:lncRNA
CCUCAGCCUUGUCUCUCAGAACUGCUAUGCAAAAUCUGUGCGUGAAAAGUCCUCAGAGAAGUUGGGUCCUUCUCAUCUGGAACCUCCUUGGAACAAGAGAAGAUUUGGGCUGAAGAGCCCAGCUCUCUCAGUCUGUCCACGCAGGGGAGGUGCUUCAGCCCUCUGAUCAUCUUCAUGGCCCUCCUCUGGACCUACUCCAACAGCUCCAUGUCCUUCUUGUGUUGUGGGCCUAGAACUGGACACAGCACUCCAGGUGAGGUCUCGCGAGAGCAGAGCAGAGGGGCAGAAUUGCCUUCCUUGACCUGCUGGUCACACUUCUCUUGAUGCAACCAAGGAUGCAGUUGGCUUUCGGGGCUGCAAGCGCACAUUGCUGGCUCAUGUUGAAUCUUUUUUCAGUUGACACUCCCAAAUCCUUCUCCUCAGAUCUGCUUUCAAGCCAUUCACUGCCCAUCCUGUAUUUGUGCUUUGCAUUGCUCUGACCCAGGUACAGGGGUUGCAGGUGCACCUGGCCUUGUUCAAUUUCAUGAGAUUGGCCUGGGCACACCUGUCAAGCCUGUCCAGGUCUCUCUGGAUGGCAUUCCUUCCCUCUAGCAUGUCAACUGCACCACUUGCUGAGGAUGCACUUGAUCCCAUUGUCACCUACAAAAAUGAUAAAUAACACCAGUCCCAGCACCGAUCCCUGAGGAAUGCCACUCAUCACCAAUCUCCACUUGGACACUGACUGCUGAUCACAACUCUGAGUACAACCAUCCAAUCAAUUCCUUAUCCAGUGAGCAGUCCAUUCAUCAAAUCCAUUUUUCUCCAAUUUGGCGACCAGGAUGUCAAGUGGGACAGUGUCAAAUGCUUUGCACAAGUCCAGGUAGAACCAUGUUAAUCAGCAGAAAACGUAUGUGUGUGAAAGUGGAACUAGACUUCACAGUUUCUGGGCUUUCAGCUGUCAAACAUCUGCAUUGUCCUGCUGGAUGUUUGCUCAGCAGGGUCAUCUGAUUUGUGGGAGAGCAUCUGUGAAAACAAAAGUGAGAGAAUUUGGUAUAAUAUUGAGUUCACAUAUAGAUAGAUCAGAAUCCCCUGCAGAAAGACUGGUUCGCCUGGGAGGAAAGAGUAAAAUCUCCUAGUCCAAUGGUUUGAGUCACUGUCAUGUAUUUCUGUUUGGAACACUGUAUUCAAUAUUGAUCCCAGUUCACUUUUGCCAUCCUAAUGCCUCCUGCUAGCUAUUCCCACUACUGCAGAGGCAAAUGCUUAAUCCGUGGGCCAGACAGAAACUGCUACCCAUAUGCACACAGCAGGACUGACAGAUCCCUCAUCCUCAGAGGUUGGAUUGGCUGUCCAGAAGACUGUUCACCACACACUUGCAGACGUACACAGGGAGUGAAGCCAGG